rnacentral:rRNA from 1 species
GUGGCAGCCGCCGCGGUAAGACGUAGGGAGCGAGCGUUGUCCGGAAUUACUGGGCGUAAAGAGCUCGUAGGCGGGAGCGUACGUCUGAGAGGAAAUCUCAAGGCUCAACUUUGGGGCUUUCUCAGAUACGGCGCUUCUUGAGUGUAAGAGAGGAAAGCAGAAUUCCCGGUGUAGCGGUGAAAUGCGUAGAUAUCGGGAGGAAUACCAGUGGCGAAGGCGGCUUUCUGGCUUACUACUGACGCUGAGGAGCGAAAGCGUGGGGAGCGAACGGGAUUAGAUACCCGGGUAGUCC